rnacentral:rRNA from 1 species
GACGAACGCUGGCGGCGUGCUUAACACAUGCAAGUCGAACGAAGAGCGAUGGAAGCUUGCUUCUAUCAAUCUUAGUGGCGAACGGGUGAGUAACGCGUAAUCAACCUGCCCUUCAGAGGGGGACAACAGUUGGAAACGACUGCUAAUACCGCAUACGAUCUAAUCUCGGCAUCGAGGAUAGAUGAACGGUGGCCUCUACAUGUAAGCUAUCACUGAAGGAGGGGAUUGCGUCUGAUUAGCUAGUUGGAGGGGUAACGGCCCACCAAGGCGAUGAUCAGUAGCCGGUCUGAGAGGAUGAACGGCCACAUUGGGACUGAGACACGGCCCAGACUCCUACGGGAGGCAGCAGUGGGGAAUCUUCCGCCAUGGACGAAAGUCUGACGGAGCAACGCCGCGUGAGUGAUGACGGCCUUCGGGUUGUAAAGCUCUGUUAAUCGGGACGAAAGGCCUUCUUGCGAAUAGUGAGAAGGAUUGACGGUACCGGAAUAGAAAGCCACGGCUAACUACGUG